rnacentral:rRNA from 1 species
UACGAAGGGGGCUAGCGUUGCUCGGAAUUAUUGGGCGUAAAGGGCGCGUAGGCGGACAGUUUAGUCAGAGGUGAAAGCCCAGGGCUCAACCUUGGAACUGCCUUUGAUACUGACUGUCUUGAGUUCGGGAGAGGUGAGUGGAAUGCCGAGUGUAGAGGUGAAAUUCGUAGAUAUUCGGCGGAACACCAGUGGCGAAGGCGACUCACUGGCCCGAUACUGACGCUGAGGCGCGAAAGCGUGGGGAGCAAACAGG